GAUAACGCUCGUUGCCGACGCAGAAUCCCUUCUGGAUGUGCCUGUCUCCUUCGAUCCAGAAAUACCUUCCGUAAUGAUCGGUGGGAGGAUUUGUGAACCCUUUUAGUCUGAAAUUAAACGUCCCAAGAACUGGUCAAAUGCUUCGGUGCAGUUUGAUGUCAUCGCAAGAGGCUCGUCGUCUUGGAGUUUGCUCGCUUGAUACUUUGGGCUCAGACAAAAGUUCUUCUCGUCCGCAAGUAUCAGUUUGUCGUCGACUUGAAUGAAACGUGUGGUGCAGUUUAUACCAAGCGUCAAGACACCUAUAACAAACAAUGCCAUCAACAAGGACAGAAAAAAAACGAGCUUUAAAUUAUAAAAUGUUGUGAAGGGUAGUAUA